AAUUCUAACUCAUUUGCUUCAUAUAAUUUUUUUUUCUUUUAGUCUGGCUGCAUUCCCAUGGAAUAAAACUUCAGAGAGCUGUGUAGACAAUAUGAUCAAAGCCAUUGUGAUUUCCAGAGCAGAUGGAAUGUUCUGUGCAGCUGGGGUAACAACUCUAAUUGAAUGGCUCAUUGGACUUGGAGGAAACAUAACCUACAGUGCACUGACUGCCAAUAACAUUUUAGCAACCAUGGUGGGGCAGGCGUUGCCACCAAAACUGGACAAGACUUUAAAUUGUCAGCACUAUCUUUGGAUUCAUUAACCCAGAUAGAUAAUAAAUUAGCUCUAGAUUAUUUGUUAGCUCAGAAGGAUGGAGUCGGCGCUUUGGCCAACACCUCCUGCUGUUUUCUGGGCACAAAGAAACUAGUGCUGAAGAGAUUUUGCAAGAGGCUGCUUGGCUUAAAACUAUUUACCAAGGUAAUGCCAAUGACAUAUGGAAAAUUAUUAGAGAUCCCUUGCCUAAACUUCCUGGUUCUUGACACCAUUAAGACCUUUGUUUCCUGUGCUUCUAUUCCCAUUGCUGUCUUUUAACCUCCUUGUUAAAUUUGUCUCUUCUGGAUUGCAACCAUUUUGAAUUACAAUAUUAGUCAUUCAGGACUUCCAACUGCUUCCUGCAGAAGAUGACCUGCCUUUGACAGUCACCAGUCAUUUAGAGCUUAGGGCCAGAGAGUUUUACUCCUCCAGGAGAAAGUCCUAACCCGGAAGAAGCUACAGAAGAUGGACCUUCGUUCCUCUAUUCCCCUUAAAAAUAAGGAAGAUUAAGUCUUUUCGGGAGAGGGUUGAGACAAGAGUAUGAGAUUAAAGUUUAAUUUGGUAACUGUUGAAAGAAAAGAACUAUACACUCUAUACUUGAGGUACGUGGUAGGAGAACCUUCCCAAACACAUCCAUUGCUUAACACAAACAACAAGAAUCACUGCAAACAGAUCUGACCACACUGCUUGCCUGAAAGUAACCUGACCCUCAUUUAGAUGCAUUCCCAUGCUAAAAGAUACACACAGGGUAGAAGAAAACACAAUACUAUUUCCAUGGAAGGUUCUAUCUUAAAUAGGGCAAGGGGUUAUAUUACAAAGGAACAGGUGAGCAUAGCUUCACCCAUGGGGCUGUAGCAAGACACACCCAUGAAGGAGACACCAUCCCUAGUUCAUAUGCACACAGGAAUGCAAAAUGGUGAGGGCACAGUAAUAACAUAAGCAUAGCUUAUGAAUAUGCUAAUUUUAACCCACAAACAUAUAUAUGCCAUUCACCCUUUGAUUUCCUGGCUACUCUGCCUAUGGAGUAGCAACCUUGUGGGAGACCAACCUCACACAUGACUGAGUCACACUCCCCGGCUGGGUGCUGAGGCACUCAGUCAUAGAAAUGUGG
rnacentral:lncRNA from 1 species